rfam:Morganella morganii subsp. morganii KT, complete genome.
CUUUUUGCAGUAGCAGCCUGAAAAUGGCUGAUGGCUGGUGACUUAUUGGUCACCAGCCU